CACCCAAUUAUCCCAUCCCCCCACCUCCUCCCUUCCAGCGACAUUCAGUUUGGUUCCUAGAGUUAAGUGUCUUAUGGCUUGUCUCUCUCUCUGGUCUCCUCUUAUUUUUCCUUCCCUUCCCCUAUGACAUCUGUUUUGUUUCUUAAAUUCUAUAUGUGAGUGAGAUCAUAUGAUAUCUUUCCCUGACUGACUUAUUGUGCUUAACAUAAUACCCCCUAGUUCCAUCCAUGUUGUUGCCCAUUUUCAAGGCAGUACAGUAAAUGACGAUGGGGCCUCUGAGUGGACCAUUAUAGAAAGCAAUGGUUCUUGAUCUUUACUUAUUUUUUUAAUAUAUUUUUUUCAAUUUUUAUUUAUUUAUGAUAGUCACAGAGAGAGAGAGAGAGAGAGGCAGAGACAUAGGCCGAGGGAGAAGCAGGCUCCAUGCACCGGGAGCCCGAUGUGGGAUUCGAUCCUGGGUCUCCAGGAUUGCGCCCUGGGCCAAAAGGCAGGCGCCAAACCGCUGCGCCACCCAGGGAUCCCGAUCUUUACUUAUUUUUACAUUCUUUAUUUUCAAGGGUGUGUAUCCCACAAAAGUCUGAGUUUAAUUGUCCUUCGACACCUUUGCAGGGAUACUGGGCACCAGCCUAAGCUGCUCUGACCCCCGUUUCCAGACCAAGGGCCUCCUGUGGCCUGUAGCUGGGAGCCACAGGCAACGGCAGCAGCCCUUUCCAAGGCCAAGUUACAGACUUGGCCUCAGCCUCAGGCUUCCCUGGCUUUUCUCCCUGUGAGCCUCACUGGAUGUGUUUACCCUGCCCUCUGCCAACUUCUACUUGCCCUCCCUACUGGUUUUGUCUCCUUGUGCAAGGAGGCAUGGGAAGAAGGGGUCCAGCUAAGCCAUGGGUUCCUUCUAGCCCUUCUCACACUGACUACAGGUGGCUGUUGAGUGGUUAGCAUGAGACUUGAGGACCACAGGGGUUUGUAUCUGGAAAUAUCUUAUUACUCUAAGUUGAAAAGUUUAAUAAUUUUAACUCAAAGUUGAGACCCUGUUGAGAGAACUCCAUUAAUAUUUAUGACUGCGGCCUUCUCAUCGAAGGUUCUGUCCAGUUUUGAAAUGCCAAAGCAGAACCCUCUGUUCUGAUUCUGCUGUUAUGAAAUCCUGUAUUUCUUCAGAAGUAUUUCUUUUUGUGUUAUGAAGUCAAAGAUCAGAGUGACUCAGUGUUCCAUGAGCUGGAUGUUUUUGUAGAAUGAGCAGUAAAUUUAUCUCCUAACAAGGCUGGGUUAAUUAAAAUUACACUGCCUGUCUCUGGUAAUCAUCAAGAAAGGAUAUUCUGUUUCUUAUUUUAUUCCUAAGACUUUUUUUUUUGAAACUACUGAGUACUUGCCAGAUUUGGUGAGCGUGACAUAGCUCAGGCACAUUCCCAGAGCACACAACGUUUUUGACUGUCUGGAUGCUGACAGAGAUGUGGCCACACAGGGGCAGAUGUCGGGGGCGGGGGUGGUAGGGGGCAAGUGUCUGUGGACCUAAGGCCCAGAGAGCCACCUAGGGGCUCCUCUGCCUGUUCAUGACCCCAGCUACAUUGGAGGAGGGGAAUAAAGCCAACCACAGCACCUAACUGUCUUGACAUUCAAGUGUCAAUUUAAAUGUCACCUACAGAAAGGCCUUUUGUGACCUCUUCUAUAGGAGCUUGCCCUAUUCACUGCCCAUGCCCUUACCCUGUUUUAAUUUUCUCCUACAGCUCCAUCUGGAGUAGUGUACUGAUGUGUAUACUUCUGUUAUAUCUGCCUUGCUGGAUAGGAUAUAAACUUCAAAAGCAAGAGCAGCAUCUGCCUCAUCCCUGCUGCAUCCUCAGCAUCCAGGAGAAUGUCUGACACUAAUAGACAUUUGACAAAUACCGAGGGCAGGGAUUUCUCGCUCAUCAUUUGAACAGCCCUAUCGCAAAGUCCAGUCUUUCUGGCAAGCCUUUGCAUUUUGUCUCAGAAGUUCCAAAGGGCUCCUGAUGAGGAGUCUCCUGCAUAUGCCCUCUUCUCUCCCAGGCCAGGUGCCAGCAACCCCUCUCUACCCAAAGUACCCAGAAAACAAUAGCUUUUCUGCCUUUAAAAAGAUAGUUGCUUCCUACAAGGAUUGAGCAGUUUUGAAAAUUUUUUCACACCAGGCCUUAGGCCAAAACUCUUCAUCAAAUCAGGCAUCUUCUAGUCAGCCGAGCACAGACAGUCCUUCCCCACUAGGGCUGGGAUCCAUCGUCAAGUAGAUUUCCUAAGCAAAACUUUGUCUACUCUAUAAAUAUUUAGCUAGAACUUAAAAUAUUAACAUUCUUCCACAUGCUCCAGGGAGAAAGCAAAUUGCCAGAGCCUCAGACAGUCUUGGGACGAAAGCCUUUUCAAUAAUGAUCUACAGUCAGGUGUGGUGGCCUCCCUUGUUUGCAUGCCUUAUUCACUGGUCACUGCCAUGGUAAAUGUUCUGUGCUUCUGUUAGCAGUAGCACUCUGGUACCAGGUGAGCCCCCAGCCUGGCCAUUCAGGAAGAGGGAGACUGGCCUGAAUCAGGCCUCUUUUGCAAAUCCUCUUCCUCAAUUUCAUUGAUCACUAAUAGCUCACAACUCCUCUAGUGGGAGGAUGGUGAUGCUUCCUUAUCAGCACAUUCCGGGGUGCACAAGGACACAUGCGCCCAGGUUGUCUGCUGCCUUCUGCGUCGUCUCCCGACCCCCUUGCAGUUUUCCCUGGGAUUAGAAGUAGAGGGUCCAAGGAGGCAGGGCAGGUGCGCCAGGAGGUGGCUCCCCUAUUUCCCCAGUGAAGGGGAGCAGGAGGCAGGCUGAGGGGAGCCCAGAGACCCAGAGAUGAGAGGGCAGGCCCCAGUGCCUGAUUGCACUGGCUGGAGCCACACAGAAGCAGAGGCAUACUAACCGUAAGUGCCCCCAGACCUCACUUGGCAUGAUUUCAGACUCUAGACCCGUGUGGCUAGAUAGCCAUGCCCAGGAAUGUGAACAUGGCAAUCUGGAUGAGGCUGAAGGCAGGGUCAACAUUUCCAGCCCAUGGCCAUCCUCGAAUUGUCCUUUUGAAAGAAUUGUUGCUCAGCUCUCAGGCCUCAGCUGUGCUCUCUGCUCCUUGCUGACCUUCACUCAACCAUUGGCUCACCUCUCUCCUUUCUCUUAUCCCUUCUUCCUCAGCCUUCCCUGCCUGCCCUCCAGCAGGUCCUAGGAGCUUCUAUGGACCAUCUCCUGCCUUACAAAGUCUUGCCAGCCUGCAUAUAGAGCUGGUUUCUAGUGGCUAGGGCAUGGACACUGGUGGGAUGCAGCCAGGGGACCUGGAGACCUCUUACAGGGCUGGAUGGGCCCUGCUUUUCACGUGCCUUGUGCUGUGGCUUGAAUUUGCAGUUUGUGAUGAGCAGGUUCCAAAGCUCCUAUUUAUUCUUGAGGUUGCCUUGUUACUAUUUUGAUUCUGCUAAUCCAAAUCAGUUUGGUGUUUCCAUGGAAACAAUUCAGUGAUUGUUUGGUUUGCCAAGAUGAGCUGCGGGGGAGAGAACCAAAUGACGUAAAACAUUUUUAGUUUCUCAAAUAUGACUAUCAUUGUCUCCCCAAGAAGCCUUUGGUCCCAGUCCCCUGAAAACCAGAGGAAGUUUUAUUAAAAUAAAUGUUUUAGACUCUUGUUCCCCUUCUAGCUAAGUCCCUGGAAACCCACUGCCCCAAACUCCUGUCCCGCUGUAUAUAGAUGAGCAUACAUCUGCCCAGUAAAGCAUAUGACAAAGGCAGGAACGUCUCCUUGGAGCACCUCAGGGAGCCAGAGAUGCAGACAGGAGUCCAUAUCAGCAGGGAAAUGACCAUAUGGCUAUUCCUGUUAAUCUGGGACUGGAGUGCCAGAGGUUCAGGGCUAACCUGCUUAAACUGGAUGCUGUGUUUCUACAGUGAGGAAUAGCUCCUCAUUCGAGGAUCCCAGGAGGAGUUACCCUUCUGGUAAAGACUUAGCUAAAGCAGUAAUAUAUCUGUCUGUCCAGCCAGGUAGUGCCAGGUCCCUCCCCCAUGCUGACCCUUGUUCUCAAGGCUCACAGUCUCCUCUAUGGGCAGAAAUAAUCCUCUCAGUUUUCUAGGGUUAGGGUUAGGCCCCCAUUCCCAGCACCCACUUCCUGUGCAAGGACCCUGGGGGAUCGUGAAUGGAACGUUGAAGAAGGAGCUCCAGACCUAGAGCUUCCAGUCCCUAGGACCCAGCAUCCUCAAGGUCAAGAUUCUGUGAGUCCUCCCAUUGUGGGUCCGGCCUCUGCCCCAGUUUCUGGGGACGGUGAAGGUCAGCUCUGGGCAAUUAGCUGGGGAGGAAUACCCAUGGCUGGUUGGUGUAGAUGAGGGCUUUAAGAAGCCAUAUAUAUGUGUGUGUGUAUACACACACACACACACACACACACACACACACACAUACACACAGCAGAUGAAUUAGAAAAUAUGGACAAGGGAAAAAAAGACAAACUCCCUUGUUCUUCCAAAACGAUCGCCUGUAUACACUGUUCUCACAUACACACAUCUGUACAAACUGGAGAUCAAGCACACUUUUAAAAAACAAAUACACUUUACAUUUUGGAAUAACUUUUAGAUUUAUAGGAAGGGUUGAGAUGAGUUUGUAUCUACCCUUCACUCAGCUUCCCCUAAUCUUACAUAACUGAGGCAUAUUUGUCAAAGCUAAGAAACAUAAAUACAUGAACUCUAGCCUUUAUUUAGACUUCACCAGUUUUUCCAUUGUCUUCUGUUCCAGGAUACAAUCCAGACUACCACAGUGAGAUUUAGUCAGUGUGUCUCCUUAGUCAAUGUGUCUGUGACAGGUUUUGAGUCUUUGUUCUUCAUGCCCUUGACAGUCUGGAGUGCUGGCCAGGCAUCCUGCAGAAUGCCCCCCAGUCUGGGUUUGUCUAACAUUUAGUUUAUGAUUAGACCAGGGAGAUGGGGUCCUGGUAAGAACACAACAGAGGUAGGAGCACCCUUCCCAUUGCUCUCUAUCAUUGAUGGUGUUCACCUUCAUUUGCUUAGGUGCUAUCAGGCUUCCCCAUAGAAAUCUACUCUUCUUUUCGCUGCUCUGGUCCUUGGAAGUGAGUUACUGAGUCUAGCCUGGCCUCAAGGGGUGAUGAAGGGAUUGAGGUUGGAUUAAGCUCUACCAUCUCUAUGGGAGACUAUCCACAUCAACACUUAUUAUUCGAGUCCUGGCUUUUCUGGAUAUCAAGUAGACCCCUAGCAUGCACACAGCCAUUCUUCGUCUGAGCAGGGCAGCCCAGGAUGCUGUGAGCAUUUCUUCUCAUUUGCUCUGGUCCUUCCUGCUAAGGGAGAAGAAAAUGAUCCCCCACUCCACAGACUGCAAGUGCUUACUGAGGGUGUCCCCCAACCCCUGUGCAGGGACCACAGGGACUGAAUGUCAGGUGACCAGGGAGGAGCCUCUGGUUAAUCUGGCCCUGCCCUCUGCCUCAGGCAGGGCAACGGUGGCGGCUGCCUUGGCAGGGGAGGCCCAUCUCAGGGAGGCCUACCUCGUAAGUGGCCACGCCGCUGAAGGGUGGGUGUGCAGUCUUCACCUGAGAGCCUGCAGGAAUCACCAGGCCUGUGUCACUGGCUUUGCAGCCUGCCCUGUGCUGAGGUCUAUAGCCUGAAAAACGACCUGGCAAGGGGGCCCCUUGGCCACUGGGCUUUCCUUCCCAGUUCUUUGGGUCUUACAAAUAGCCCCUGUGCUAGCCUCCUCACUGCCCCCGCCGUCCUCCCCAUGUGAGCCCAGAAGGCAGGCACUUCUCUAAGACUCCGUUUCUGCAAGGCCAUCAAAACUUGCCUGAUAGCUUAUGUUUCCUGAAAGAGCAUCAUGGGUCUGAGGGGCACCUGGGUGGCUCAGUCAGUGAAGUGUCUGCCCUUAGCUGAGGUCAUGAUCUCAGGGUGCUGGGAUUAAGCCCUGUUCAGGGGCGGGGCUUUUCCUCCCUCCUCCCCUUUGCCCCUCCCCCCAACUCAUGCACACACCUUCUUUCUCUCAAAUAAAAUCUUAAAAAAAAAAAGCCACCAAAGAACAUCAUGGUUUUGAGACAUUUGUCAAAAUAAUUUCUAAGAAAAAUAAUAAUUUCUGAGGAUGUCCUUGUCAUUUCUGUCCAGAGUUACGGCUGGAGCAUCCCUGGUAGGCUUUUGCUGCUCUAACUGACCUCAGGCAGGCAAGUGGCCUGCUUCCUCCCUCACUCCUGCCCAUCUUGCCCCAGCAGGGUCAAUGCCACUGGAACUACCUAUGGCUUCCCGGGUCUCCAGGCCUAGAGUGGGAUGCAUGAGGGCUCAGGCAUGAAGGUAGAUAGGCAGGACCUGUGUUUCCCUUUUCCUCCCACUGCCCUUGGCUGGGGGCCCAGGUGUCUGAUGUGAGGGAUGGUGGCAGGGAGGCCUUCAAGCUACGCAGGGUCAGGGUUAGGGGUGCUGAGGGGAGAUUGGUCUGGAAAUGAGGAGGGUAUGGCCCUCCUUGCAGACAACAGGCAGCCCUGUGUGCAAAGUGAGCAAGGAUAGGAGGGCUUGAGGCCAUAGUCUGUGCUGGCCUGGGAUGGGCUGGUCCCAGAGGGUACACAAAGCCCACCCUGACUGUGGUCCCAGUACUUCUUCAGGGACCCAUGGAAAAGAACACCAGGAGACACAGCAGAGGCCCAUGGCCAGCACCCACCUUGGGUAAGGGUUGUAUUAAACAUCAAAAAACACAUUUGAGAUGCCAAGAAAAGUGAAAAAAAAAAAAAAAAAAAAAAAA
rnacentral:lncRNA from 1 species